rnacentral:rRNA from 1 species
UACGAAGGGGACUAGCGUUGUUCGGAAUCACUGGGCGUAAAGCGCACGUAGGCGGAUAUGUCAGUCAGGGGUGAAAUCCCGGGGCUUAACCUCGGAACUGCCUUUGAUACAGCAUAUCUUGAGUCCGAUAGAGGUGGGUGGAAUUCCUAGUGUAGAGGUGAAAUUCGUAGAUAUUAGGAAGAACACCGGUGGCGAAGGCGGCCCACUGGAUCGGUACUGACGCUGAGGUGCGAAAGCGUGGGGAGCAAACAGGAUUAGAU